rnacentral:misc_RNA from 1 species
AACGCACAUUGCGCCCAUUAGUAUUCUAGUGGGCAUGCCUAUUCGAGCGUCAUUUCAACCCUUAAGCCUAGCUUAGUGUUGGGAAUUUACGAUUUAGUAAUUCCCUAAAGUCAGUGGCAGAGCUAGUUCAUCUCUCAGCGUAGUAAUUUUAUCUCGCUUUUGUAGAAGGUCUAGUCCUCGCCAUAAGCCUUAUAUUUUCUAGUGGUUGACCUCGGAUUAGGUAGGAAUACCCGCUGAACUUAA